GCAACUAAGAAGAGUGUUGCAACAACUUUUAAAUACCUUACACUAGAGGAGUGGUGCUCAACCUUUUUGUCUUCAAAACAUACUUACAAGCACAAGAAUUUUUGUUCACAUUCAAGAUGGAAUUAAAGGCUUCAAAACAACAACAGGUAAACCAGAAACAAUUGCAAUAUAAUCAUUAUUAUGAUUGAAAAGUGACUCAUAAGAUUUACAAAAAUUCACUUGUUUAUCCAAUGAUUUAGUCAGUCUUAGCAGAGUGUCACUGUUCUAGAA
rnacentral:lncRNA from 1 species